CCUGGACAGUGGUAUAAUGUAUUGCUUUUUUAUCCUAAACUCCUUUGAUAGUCUCUUGUAUGCAGCUUUUUCCAGACAUGGUAUCUUAUAUACCCACGUGUUCCACCUCAAACAAAUAGUAAAGGUAAUCUUACAUUUCUGAAAAAUUAGUUGAGGUUCUCUAUUCCCCCUCAAUUCGAAAACUGGUUAUACUUGAGUUUUCUACCAGAAAUAUUACUCCAAUUAUUUAAUGUCAAGUAAUCUAUUUUGUUCCAUUAAAUACAUAAUCACUGACAGAUAGCCAUUUUUUUAUAUUUUAAAUAUUUUUCAUAAUAAUUAGGGAUAACCAAAAUAGACGAUAUAAAAGAUUUUUUUCAAAUUAUGGCACAUUGAAUUCAUUGUUUUAAAUUUGCACAGCCUAUGAUUUUCCAACAUAAAUAUUGUUCUAAUAGAUAAACGACAAAAGACCUUUUUUGUUGCAUUUUUAAUCUAGUUUUGAGUAAGUUGUUCGUUUUUUGAUUUUCUCUGUAAUUUUAUUAAAAUUAAGGAUAACUGAAAAAAAACUUAGGCAUAACAGGAAAUUUUACGAAAAUAAUGAUUUUAUUUGGUUUUUUCGUUGUGAUUCAGGUUAAAAUACUCGUAGACUUGACAUUUGACAGAAAAUGUACAUUUACUUUUCUUAGACGUGACACAAAUUUUCAAAAAAUUUGAGUUAUUUUUAAGCUAUUACAGACAUUUUAAAUUUGCAAGUAUUUUACGUAAUUUUUAUUUGAUAGGUACUCUGUAGAUAAAAUUUUUAGACCUAACACUAAUUAACACCAUUUCGAUUAUAGUUAAUUUUCGAUUUUGGGGAAAAUACUCAUUAAUGCAUUACAUUAGUGUAUUCGUGUUCUUUUCUGGGAAAAUUGUUUAACUGAAGAAACUCUCUCAAUACAGUUUCUAACAGAUAUAAUUUUACUUGAG